CCCGCAAGGUGGGGGUCGCCGUCAAAGGCUCCUGAAAGGGGCUGAGCCACGGCAGGACGUGCAGCUUGUGCAGACGGCGUGGCCUGGGGGACGUCCAUCUGCAGAGGAGGGGCGGGGGUGAGCCGGGCUGGAGGGAGAACGGAUUCCUCCCCUCACAGGAACUGAGGCCAGAGGGCUGGAGCUGAGGGACGUCGGCCUGGAGCAGAGUCCGGAGAUGAAGGAAGGAAGAGGAGAGAAGGCCAAGUGGGGCUUGGGGGGACCUCUCCUGCUCCCUGGGUCACCGCACCCCUCUGCUCCGUCCAGGAUGGGAGGGGCUGGAUGCCAAGGAGAAGGCCGUGUGUUUGGGUCGGGAGAAGUCCAGGGCCCUACCUUGGCAGGCCAGGAUUUAGGCCCAGGUCAGAGGAAGCUAAGCCCUGGCCAUCUUAGCCUGGGGGGAAGGGCUCCAACCUCCAGAUGCUCAGCCAAGUGAGUAGGUGAAGUUUUGCCACAGACCCCAGGCUGGUGGCCUGCUCCUCCAUGCCUCCCCUCUGCUCGCUGCCUGCAGCCCUCUCCGCCCCCUCCCUUCCCCUCCAGCCCCAGGAUGCAUCCCUGCGGAGCCAAGAAGGUGGGAGGCCUUCUGUGUUCGUCAGCCCCUGGGCCAGGGCAGGCCUGGCAGAGGGCAGCUCACAGCUCUCCAGCCUCCUGGGGCCACACCGAGUGCUCUGGAAGGAGGCGGGGGAAGCGCAGGUUCCGACCUGACCUGCCGGAGGUCCCGCCUGAAGCCCGUCUGGAGCAGCCCAGCCCGCGUGGAGGCUGAUCCCACCGGCCCGCUGCGUCAGCAAAAUGGGUGGAUUUACAGGAUCGACUGUCAGGCCAGAAAGGAACUCUGCUGUCCUGAGCCCUGACACGGAUGGACUCAAACCGGCUUUCCCUAAACAUUAAUUACGUCUGUGAGACUCACUGUGAAGAGCCGGUGAAAAAUUAAUCAGUGGUCUAUCUAAGAAAGAGAUGGAAAAUCGUGCCUGAGCCAACCUGCCGGCUGUAACCCAGGAGACGGACGUUCAGAAGCUCUGAGGGCCGUUCCGCCCUUGACGUCAAAGCGAAGCAAGAUAAGUGUUUGAGACAAAGGGUCACAAGUGACAGCAACACACUGACAGUUUCCUUAGUCCAACACGGGGGUGGUGGGCCAUCGAGACCCCUACAGGACUGAGGGAGGAACGUUAUCUCUGAGGAGUCACCUGGCUGGUCCUGGAGAAAACUGCUUGUUUUUUUCGCUUCACAAGAAGUUGGAAAGUAGUACCGGGAGGCCCCACAUAUCCACCACUCAGCUGCCCCACGAGGUAGAACCUGCACGAUGACAGGCAUCAAAACCAGGAGCUCCGUGCUGGCACGACAGGUUAGCUGGGCUCCAGAGCUCGCCCGACUGGACUGGGUUUGCAGGUUCACCUUUAUUCCGAGUGUGCACUUGUGCAGUGACUCUAUGAUGUGUACACCCCACAGCCACAUUCAAGACCCAAAAUGUACGGUCCCACAGAGGACCGCCCAACCCCAAUUUCUUCUCCAUCUCAAUAAUCUGUCGUUUCAGGGCAUCAUGCAAAUGGAACAUUGUACAGCCUCUGAGGCUGGAGUGCACCCAGCGCAGUGUCGUGGUCUGCGUCCCGGUGGUCGUUUCCGAGCAGUGCUCUCCUCCAGGGUGGACCAGGGCUUGUGUGACCAUGGAAGGGCAGCCAGGGUGUCCCCAGGCUCCAGCUAUUGCCACUGAAACUGCUGUGAACAUUUGUGUGCAGGUUUAGUAUGGAUGUAAAUGUUCGUCUCUCCAGAAUAAAUGCCCAGGGGUGCAACUGCUGAGUCACGUGCUAGAUGUAUGUUUAACUUUUUAGGAAACUUUGAGACAGACUGGAUGGAGAUGAGUCAAGUGUGGUGGGAGGAGGCGGGGACAAACUUAGAAGAAACAGUCUUGUGAUUUUCCUUUCAAAAAUCAGUUUUUAAAAAAGAAACAGACCUGCUACAUAUGUGGUAAAUCAAUUUCAACAAAGGCCUCAACACAACUCAAUGGGAAAAGGAAGUUCUUCAACAAAUAGCAUUGGAGCCAUCGGACAUCCUUCUGCAGGGGGAGCACUGGCCCUUAUCCCGCACAACAGACACAUACGAAUAAUUCAGAAUGGGUUGUAAGUAAAUGUAAAUUCUAACCCAUAAAACGUCUGCAGGGACACGCAGGAGAAAAGUCUUCUCCUUGGGGUAAGCAAAGAUCUUUUAGAACAGAAAAAGCAUGAAACAAUUUUAAAAGCUGAUCGAUUGGACUUCGUUGAAAUUAAAACUUCUGCUCUUCAAAACACACCAUUAAGAAACAGAAAAGACAAAUCACAGAAACAUAUGCUAGUCUACAACCAGCCGUCCCACUCCCGGACGUUUACCCAAGAAAUAAAAACCGUGUCCACGCCAAGGAGUGUGCAUGAAGCUUUAUUUGUAAUUGUGAAACUGUUAGAGCAGGCAGAUGGC